GUGUUAUGUGUGACUAGCCACCACCCAGCCGACGUGCUGAUUCGAAGGAUCGGCCAGGCAGUGUACGCAGUAGCUCUCAUGCUGAUAAGGACAAAAAGGCAGGGAAACCCUCCGGCAAAAAGAAGGAUGGUAAAGGUGGGAAAGAUGCUAAAGAAGAGGAGAAACAUGAUAAAACUAAAGGAGGGAAGAAA